AAAAUAAUUAAAUAAAACUAUUUAAACCUAACCUAGAUUAAAAAAUAAAUAAAUAAAUUUGCAUAGAAACCCGUCAAUUCUGUUCAAAUAUUUCUUGAUCUUGCACGCAAACUUUGAUCAAAUUAAGCCACUUUUCAUCUUCUUGCAACUCCAAUUUAUUGAUUGUAUAUUCGUAUUUAGCUUCUUAUGCAACUGCUUCCUUAAUCAACUUUUGCAUCUUCUUAACUUUAGUCUUUGUGAUUGGAGCUUCUUAUGCAA
rnacentral:misc_RNA from 1 species